rnacentral:rRNA from 1 species
UACAGAGGUCUCAAGCGUUGUUCGGAUUCAUUGGGCGUAAAGGGUGCGUAGGCGGCGCGGUAAGUCGGAUGUGAAAUCUCGGAGCUUAACUCCGAAACUGCAUUCGAUACUGCCGUGCUUGAGGACUGGAGAGGAGACUGGAAUUUACGGUGUAGCGGUGAAAUGCGUAGAUAUCUGGAGGAACACCGGUGGCGAAGGCGACAUCCUGGACCGGUAUUGACGCUGAGGCGCGAAAGCCAGGGGAGCAAACAGG